AUUGAACGCUGGCGGAAUGCUUUACACGUGCAAGUCGAACGGCAGCGGGGGAGAAGCUUGCUUUUCCUGCCGGCGAGUGGCGAACGGGUGAGUAAUACAUCGGAACGUGCCCUGUCGUGGGGGAUAACUAGUCGAAAGAUUAGCUAAUACCGCAUACGACCUGAGGGUGAAAGUGGGGGACCGCAAGGCCUCAUGCUAUAGGAGCGGCCGAUGUCUGAUUAGCUAGUUGGUGGGGUAAAGGCCUACCAAGGCGACGAUCAGUAGCUGGUCUGAGAGGACGAUCAGCCACACUGGGACUGAGACACGGCCCAGACUCCUACGGGAGGCAGCAGUGGGGAAUUUUGGACAAUGGGCGAAAGCCUGAUCCAGCAAUGCCGCGUGUGUGAAGAAGGCCUUCGGGUUGUAAAGCACUUUUGUCCGGAGAGAAAUGGCUCUGGUUAAUACCUGGGGUCGAUGACGGUACCGGAAGAAUAAGGACCGGCUAACUACGUGCCAGCAGCAGCCGCGG
rnacentral:rRNA from 1 species